CCUCCGCCGCUCCCACCAGGAUCCAACCAUGGCGGCCGCCUCUCCCCUGCUUCAAGCAUGGUGGCCGUCUCCCCCUGCUUCAACCGCAACGGCCCUCCCUCCAUGCGCUCCGCCAACCGCCACCGUCGCCUUGAUCCGACCAACCACCGCGGCCCACCGUCUUGCCUUCCUCGGGGUGCCCCGCCCACCCUUCAUAUGAGGGCCGGUGCCCGUGGUCGUUUCCUGGAUCCCGGCGACCACAUCCAUCCACCACGCACUGCCACAGAGGACCUGCGCUCAAAUCCCUCCUCCGCAGUGGUGUUCGAACCGCAGCAUGGGGUACCGUUGACCUUCCACCGGAGGCCGCUUUGACCUCACUGGAAGCCACUCCCUCUCCACGCGCACGAUCGGUCCCGCCUCCUCCCGGCGCGCCACCGCCCUGACUCCUCCCUGCGUGCCGCCUCUCGACGCGCCGCCACCUCUCGUCCUCCCGGUGCGAGGCCACCGUACCCACCUCCUCCUGGCGCGCCGUCGCCUAGCCUCCUUCCGGCGCGAGGCUUGCCAUCUCCUUCAGGGCGAGGUGGGUUUGGACUUCAGCCCCUCCUGCUCCUCCCGGGCACCGCCGUGCGUUCCCACCCAGAACCCCGCUUGCUCCAGUGCACCGCUGCUGGUCCCUGCCCUGCACCCCCUCCUCCCAUGCGCAGCUGCGCGUCCCGCCCUGAACCUUGCCUCCUCCCAGCCGGCUCAGCCCUGCCCUGCACCCUGCCUAUGCUUUAUGUCCACGGCUAACUAUUUGAUGUUUGUCUAUCACUAGGUGCUAAUUCUUUAUCUAAUUGAUUCUGAUCUACAGCAAACAGUGUUCCCAAAUCUACAGAAGGAGCUCCUGAUUUUUUAUGUCUGAAGUUCAGGUGUACCAUGGAGACUACUGCGGCCGUUUGAAAUACUAGCAGGCGCCGUGCUAGCCAGCUGCAGGUCACGGUCUCCUCGAGUUGCAUGUCGUCUAAAUCUGGAGUUCUGGACUGUUUGAUCUACCGGGUUGGCCUGCACCGACCGUCGAAGGCUACCGAGGUGGUGCCCCACUGCUGCCUGCAUCUCCCCGCUCUUUAGGUUCAGAAAAGUUCAUCUUGGCGUGGGGCGAAAGUUCAGCUGGUGGAGCACUGACAACAACAACGUUUUACUGUGUUGUGUAGCCUACGGCUGCAGCUCCAUUUUCCUCCUGAGACUGUUUUAAUUCUUGUGUUUCUUCUACUGCCAACAGAGAAAAAUAGCCAGCACCGAGCUACUACUGUUUGUUUUGCUUGAACAACCAAUUUAGGCAUUACCAGGAAGAAGACAAAGCAAGAAAAUUAUGGAGUGAAAGAGAUAAAAGAGUAGUGUGCCUACAUGGUGUGGAUAUGAAACAUGCUGUGUGUGAGAGGAUAAGGAAUGUGUGUUACUAUUCAGUGAUAAAAACAAUUUGUGGUUCAAAGAAAAAGCAAUGUUCUAUUACCUA
rnacentral:rRNA from 1 species